rnacentral:lncRNA from 1 species
AACAGGUGGUGGGUCAAGCCACAGCCCCGGGAGCUGGAAAGCCCCCCGACAGGUUGUUUGGGGCACCGAAGUUGCCGUCAGAGCCGCUGCGGCAGCCGGGAGCCGCGGGGCCGAGAAGGGGAGCGUGCAGCGGGCAGGUAUCUCGCCUUCCCCUCCUCGCUGACAGGCCAUAAAAGUCACGAGACGCCAGCGAGCCAAGCGGGGAGGAAAACAACGAGGCGUCCAGAGUUCAAACGUAGCCCUGAGCCGCCGGGGCCUCUGCCCUUGGCCGGGGCCGGAGCCCAGCCAGCAGCUCGGCGGGGAGCCGAGCCCGGGCCGGGCCCACGCUGCGGGCCCUACCUGCGAGGGGCAGGAGCGGGACCGAGGGGCGCUGCGGCUCCCCGGGGCUCCCCCCGACGGCGGCGGCGGCCCCUCGCCCACCCUCCUUCCCUCUCUGCCUGCCUCCCGCACCUGCGGGCCGAGCCCCGCGGGAGGAGGACGAGCUCUUUCCUUCCCCCUCCGCCCCGUCGGCUCCUAAAAUGGUGGGCCGCCCUCUUCCCUCCUUCCCCUCCCCGCCGCGCUGGCUCCGGGGGCAGCCGCCCCUCCGGACCCACCCGGGCCCGCCCGGGAGCCGCCGCCAGGCCCCGGGACGAGCCGAGCCGGGCCGGGCCGGGCCGGGCCCCGCGGCUUCCCGGGGGCCGCCCGCAGCGCCCUUACCUGCGCCGGCCUCACAUGGCCGGGCCGGGGCCAGCAGCACCGCGCCCCCCCCCCGGCUCCCCCGGCGCCGCCGGUGUCGCUGCCCCCCGCUGCCCGGGCCGAGGCGUCGCUGCUCGCCCCGGGCCCGCAGGUAUGUGGCGGCCCGCAGGUGAGCCGGGCACACCUACAGGAAGGCAGGCGGGCCGCCCUGAUUGGCGUGCGGGGCCGGGCCGGCCGCGGGCAGAGCCGCCGGAGCCAGCUCGGCGGCGAGGCUGCGCUGGGGCUGCGCUCCGCCACGGGCUCCGGGGGGAGAAGGCGCCUCACGCCCUCCCGGGCGGCGGCACAGCGGGUAGACCUGGCCCCGGGAUCCGUCUCCCCGACCGGCUCCAGAAAUAG